rnacentral:lncRNA from 1 species
ACAGAUUUCCAUUUAUCUUUUUUCUCCAAUUUUUAGAUUUCCUCCUAUUUUCUUCAUUUACCUAAUUAACCAACAAGACCUAAAUGUCACAAAAGCGCAACGUUUCACUUAUUUGAGAAACCGAACCGUUUCGUUUCCCUUCAAUUGAGAAUUGAGGCUUUGUAUAGUAUCGCCUUUCAUGUAUUCUUCCAUUGUUCGUUCAAAGCUAGAGUUUUGUGCGAGGUGUGAUCUCCCGAUGAGCAUAAUAAAGAACCCCCAAAGUGGAAAGUAAUUUUCAUGUAGAUCACGCAUUCUACAGGAGUUAAUGGCGUUGAAAUUUUUCAUAGUAUUCUUUUUUUCCCAUUGUAAUUCUUUGCCCUCUAUUUUGGUAAUUUUUAUGAAUGAUUUAAUUAAGCUUUUUUGUUUUGGUCAAUUUUGUAAAUGACCAAGUGACAAUUUUUUGGGAGUUCUCUGAGAUUUUUCACAACUUCAAUGACAAAAGUAUGUUGUGGUGAUUCCUAAUCGUUCUAUUCCAGAUUUUAACUUUUUGGAUGCUGGAUAUUUGUCGCUGCAAGUAUGCAACUGAAGCUCUUGGGAUCUGCCUAUGUUGUUUAAGGGGAACGCCAACAAAUUCAAUUUCGUUGCUAAAAGGUGUUGUUUUUAUUGCUAUCAUACUGGAAGAUCUCAUAUUGGUAAGUUAUGUCAUCAAUAUUCUAAAGAUUAUUACAUUGCCUAUAUAUUGACCAUUGAAAGUGCCUGAAUUUGCAAUGGAUGAGCACCAUAUAGUUUACAAAAUUUAGAAGGAAUAUUUAGAAUGAACAUUUAGUUUGCAUAAUUUAUAAGGAAUAAAAAAUUAACAUCUUACUUAUAUGUGUUACACAGUAUUGACAUAUCUGGUUUUUGGGUAUUUCUUGCUAUUCAUGAA